GUCUGUGUGCUGCUUUGUAUUUUCUAGGUUGGAUAACGCUCUGACCUGGAGGCCACAGGCCAGGCAGGGUCUGUCCCCCCCACAGUAGCAGAUCCUGCAGUUGCAAAAGCCUGGCCUCAGAGCUCCCUUUGCUAUGCAGACUAACCAAGCACCUCCCUCAGGCUGCCUGCUGCACCUCCUAGAGGCCACACUCCUCUACCCUAAUCACCAGGUCCAGGAUCACAGGGGACCACAGCCUAGGACAAUUAGAACCAGAAUUAUUCAAGCCGUCCAACCCUGAGCCUGGUGAGCUGCCUCAUCAGUCCCUUGCAGCGAAGCCACAAUAAAGCUUUUGUUGAUGCCCUACCCCAUCUUAUGCCUCCUGACAGACCCUGGAUUCCUGAGUAUGAAUUCUGCUCCUUCCCCAUCCCUGUGUCCCCUGUCUGUGCCUGUGGGCCUUACCUGUCCCCUGUGCCUGUGGGCCUUACCUGUCCCCUGUGCCUGUGGGCCUUACCUGUCUCCUGUACCUGUGGGCCUUACCUAUCCCCUGUGUCUGUGGGCCUUUCCUGUCCCCUGUACCUGUGGGCCUUACCUGUCCCCUGUAUCUCUGGGCCUUACCUGUCCCCUGUGCCUGUGGGCCUUACCUGUCCCCUGUACCUGUGGGCCUUACCUGUCCCCUGUGCCUGUGGGCCUUACCUGUCCCCUGUGCCUGUGGGCCUUACCAGUCCCUUGUACCUGUGGGCCUUUCCUAUCCCCUGUGUCUGUGGGCCUUUCCUGUCCCUGUGCCUGUGGGCCUUACCUGUCCCCUGUGCCUGUGGGCCUUACCUGUCCCCUGUACCUGUGGGCCUUACCUGUCCCCUGUAUCUGUGGGCCUUACCAGUCCCCUGUGCCUGUGGGCCUUACCUGUCCCCUGUGCCUGUGGGCCUUACCUGUCCCCUGUGCCUGUGGGCCUUACCUGUCUCCUGUACCUGUGGGCCUUACCUAUCCCCUGUGUCUGUGGGCCUUACCUGUCCCCUGUACCUGUGGGCCUUACCUGUCCCCUGUAUCUCUGGGCCUUACCUGUCCCCUGUGCCUGUGGGCUUUUCCUCCCCAGUCAGGACAAACCCCUGGCACAUUUUAAAGCACAUUCACUUAUUUCACGAUUUUUAAGGUGCCUACUACCUUUCAGCCAUUGUUUAACUACCAGAGAAGGAGCAGUGAACAUGCAGACAGUGUCCCUGAGCGUCUCGAGGGCAGAAGGACAAAGAACAGGUAGAAAUGGAGUUUCGGGAUCUGAGUCAAGUAGGCCAAGAGGGUAGUUUUGUUUUGUUGACUGGUUUGGGUCUUUUGGGUUUGAUUUUUUUUUUUUUUUUUAGGAAAAAUGAUCAGGGAACGUCACUGUAAGGAGGUGACCCUGAGCCAAGGCCUGCAUUGUUCCUUCUACACCCAGGGCACCCAGAAGGUCUGUGCUGGUGUCUGGAAAUAUCCAAAGUAAACAGAAAGCUGUAUCUUUUGCUCCUGCCCAGCCUGAACAAGCUCUUUCCCAGCAAGCACAGGAGGGCUUGGGUCCAGGAGAGAAGAAUCUCCCAGCAUCAGCAUCUGCUGCUCCAAUCGGUGGCUUUCCAAAUGCCAUAAAGCUGAGGCGCCCCAAGCAAGGGGUCCUGCGGGUAGGCUGGCUGCUCACCAGAAGCCCCAGGGCAGGGUCCAGACCAGCUUGCUCAUGUGCUGACACACUGCCUGGCUUACACACAGGGAGCGAGGCAGAGCUGCGCCUCCUCUGCAUCCCAUCACCUCCAGGAACCCACUGCCUCCUGCAUCUUCAAAGUGCCGCCAACCCGGCCCUGGUCACUGCACUCAUGACCCCGUUGCUCCAAGCCUGGUCUGCAGGCCCUUCGCCUGGGCUCAUCCCAGAGGGGCAAGCUGGCCACCUUGAGUCCACAUUGCCAGCAGGCAGAUAUUUAAUGAUCCAACUAAUUUUGGAAAACAUUAGAAUAAAAAACCAUAGGGGAAUUUAAAUCCCAGGCCCUGAACCAUGCUCCCUUCUCCAUAGGGAAGCUGGCACCCCCAGCCCUGCGACCAACACCCACGUCCCUUCCUUCAUUCAAGGAAGGCUAGGGACCCUGAUCUGAAAAGCUACCCCAGCCUCCCCUGGAAACCUCCAGGUAUGGCCAGAGCCCUUCAUGUGGGCAGCUGGGGCCAGGUCGCUGAGCUUGGGGCCUGGCCCAGCUCCCUGUUCACAGCCAUCCUCCCCUCCGCAUCUGUGCCAGUGACUGCUCCUCCCAAGGACAUUCCCCAGGAGCUCCGGAGGUCUGGCUCUGCUCUGCAAAGGGUUGUUUAUCUUGCCUGGGAUUCCAAUCGCUGGUCUCCCGCCAUUGAUCUCCCUGGGGGGGUUUGCUUGGGUAUUUUUAUAAAUGCUACUUUGAUAGUUGCCCUUGCAGAGACUUGUUGUCUAUCAUGAAUGUCCUGCUCCAAACUAGGAACAGCCAAGAGGACCGCUCAUACCUUGAGACAGUUUAAAUGUAAAGCAGCGACAGCUUUCCAAGAGCCAGGGAGCUGCAGAGCCACAGGGAGAGGAGAGGGGGAGCCUCUGUGGGUCUCAAAUACAAUGCUGGUCAUCUCUGAAAUGCUUCUGUCCUCCCCAAACCCAGCAUAACGGCCUGUGAAAAGGUCUGUUCCCCCCUAGUAGAUCAAAUCUCCAAUUCUCAUGACUCCAAGCUGGCUUCAAAAUGUCGGCAGUGAAUCUUUACAUGUGAAUCUUUCUAUAUAGAAAAUAGGCCACAGGGAGGAACUUCCCUUACUGUUCCCCUACCUCUCUGCCCCGUCCUGAACGAGCCCACCGCCAAAACUCCUCUUCCUACGACCUGGCCCUGCCUGCCCAAAGUAACUAACUCCCUCCGUGACCUGGCUAAGCUAAGGCCCUAUGAACCCAGACCCUCAAGGUGGCCCGCCGGCCAUUUUCUCCCUGAAGAUGUGCCCUUCUGGUGCUGAGUAAAGCUUCAGGUCUGCCUCUAUUUUCCUUUUUGUAUUCUCUUUCACGUACUUUUGCUGUGUAUCAAGUAUUUUCUGUUUCCCACUUAAUCAGAUAGCCUGCAGAGGCACGACCCCACUUCCUGUGGACUAAGAACCAGGCCUCAGAGUUGGCAUGCUCAUUUGCAGCCCAUGUGCCUGGGCCCUCUUUGGAUCAAUGAAAGCCUUAGUGGAAAGCACUUAAUCCUAAACAAUAGUUUAUUGGCUCAUCCUCCAAAUUAUAGUAUCCAUUUGCUUGUGUAAACCCAGCAAUCACCAAUCAUAAGCAUGAACCACAAAAACCUGCUUCAAGUAGGAUUUAGGCCCAGUUUUCAGUUUGGGUCUGACACAUUAUACCUGAUCACAGGAAACCAUAAAUAAUUCCUAAGUUGGGUGUACAUCUAAUAAAGAUGUUUUCAUUGUUUGCAAAAUAAAACUCAAAUCAAGCAGGGCCACCAGGAAAGUAGGUGUCCAGACAGGGAGAGCUGGGCCUUGGCACUGACUCACUGCGACUUCUUGAAUCUAUCACCAGGUAAAAGAAGAUGCCCCUGUCUGUCUGCAGUUUUCACUUGGGAGAUUUUUUUUAGAAACAUUCAGUUAGGGGUUUAGGUACAGCCUAUUUUAGUUUGAAUCUAGAUGCUUGGUGUAGACUCUAGGCCUGCCUAGUCAUCAGCCAUCUCAUCUGCAGGGGAGGGAAAGGGAACCUGGGCCAGGAGCCAUGGGGCAGGACUUUGGGAAACCCCUGGGCCUAUGGGAAACCCAUUAGAAAUUUGUCCUGAUAACUGUUGUUCUGGUUUGGAUGUGAGGUGUCCCCCAAAAGCUCAUGUGUAAGACAAUGCAAGAAAAUUCAGAGAAGAAAUGACUGGGAUAAGAGAGCCUUAAGCCAAUCAGUGGAUCAUUCAACUGAUGAGAUUGAGUGGUAAGUGAAUGUAGGUGGGGUGUGGCUGAGGGAGGUGGGGCAUUGGGGCAUGAGUUUAGAUAUGUAUUUGUGUUUGGCAAGUAGAUAUCUAUCUCUCUUCUCUCUCUCUCUCUCUGCUUUCUGAUCAUCAUGUGAGCUGCCUCCCUCUGCCACAUUCUUCUGCCAUAAUGUUCAGCCCCAUCUUGAGCCCAAGAGGAAUGGUGUUGAACUUCUAUGGACUGAGACCUCUGAAACUGUGAGUCCCUAAAUAAACCUUUAUAAUUGUUCUAGUUGGGUCCUUUAGUCACAGUGGUGAAAAAGCUGACUAAAACAGAAAUCAGUACUGGGAGUUGAGGCUGUAGUUGUGAUGAACCUGUGUGGUUCAUGUUUUUUGGAGCAUUUUGGAAUUGGUGGGAGGAAUUUUGAGAUGUUUAGCAGUUCAAGCUGGAAAUGCUUUAGAUUGUUGUAAAUUGAGCUUAAUGGUUGAUUCUGUUAGAAGCUCAGACCAGAAUGUCAGUAGGACUGUGGACAGUGAAGACAGGGCUCAAGAGGGUUCAGAGAAGGAGGUCUCUAUUGGAAUUUUAAAUAGAGGCCAUUGGUGUUAUGUUCUGGCUGAGAAGUUGUCUGAAUUUUGUCUGUGUCCUGAGACGUUCUAUGAGGCUGAUUUUAAAAGUGAUGGACUCUUAAUCUGGUGGAAAAAAUACUUAGGUAGCACAGCAUUCAGGAGGUGGCAUGGAUAUUGCUGGCAGCUUUUAGCCAAGUUUAUUAUGAUAGGAGCAGAAAGCAGAGCAGAAAGAUUUCAAAAAACUUGGUCUUAAAAGAUGGGAAUAAAACUGGGCCUAAAGAAAUUGUAGUUGUUCAAGACUUUACUGCCACUAAGGAAAUGCUAAAGACUUUGCCCAGAGACAAUAAGAAAGAUGGCUUGAGGGGCAUCUCUGGAGCUUGGAAGACCACACCCAUCUCAGGCUCAAAGGAGUAAAAGUGAAAAUUCUCUUAAGACCAGUGGGGAAUCCUUCUUACACAAGGAGACCUAGGAUGUUUUUUCAACAUUCUCAGCUACCCAGACACUCGGAGGCUGCUUCAGCAAGGGAGGCUUGGCUGUGUUCAAGAUGGUGGCAGACCUUGGUGUCAACCAUGUGGUGCUGGUUCUGUAGGAAUGCAGGAUGCUGGAAUUAGGGGGCCAUAGAGGCUUCCAACAAGAUUUCAAAAGAAGGCGUUAGAGCCCAGGCAAAGUGCAGCAGGAUCAGAGGCACUCCCUGAGAUGUCAAAGUGUGGAAGUGUGAGGAAGAAGCCGAAGCUGCAGUGGAGACCCCUAAGAUUAAGAAAUGCCAAUAAUGUGGGACAGUGUCCUAGGAAAGCUGCAGGAAUCAAGCAGAGGCAGGCCACAGAAAGGCCACUUGGGCUGCAAUCAACAAGGUCACAGAAGCAGAGCUACAGAAGCUCGUUGAACAGAACAUCACAAUGCCAUGUGCCCCAGAUGCCAGACAUGGAGCCACAGGUAUUGUUUGUCCAGCUGGAUUUCAGUCUUGCUUUGGUCCUAUCUAUAAGGUCCUUACUUAGCAUCUGGACGGUCAUCUUAAGUGACAGCCGCCAUUUUAUGAAAAUGUUUUGCUUUCCCGCCAAAUUGUGUUUCUGAGAAAGGCUCCCUCACCCAACCCCACCCCUAACCUCCUGCAUUAGAACUCUCCGGCCCUAAUCCCUGAGCCUGCUCCAUAAAAGUCCUGGAGGCCAAGCCUGUGUUGCCUCUCUCUCCUGCAGAGAGAUGGCCUUUAUUUGUCAGCUCUGACAGAUAAACUCUCGUGUGUAGCUCUGCCUGGGCUCCGUCUCUCAUUUCUCGCUUGCCCAUCUCCCAUUCCUCACUUUCCCUUCACUAUCCUUUAUUUCUAUCCCCCUAUAUUUCUGAAUAGAAGUGUCUACUCUGUACCAUUAUAUAUUGGAUACUUUUAAAUUGCUUUAAUUUUAUAGGAGCUCACUUGCAAGAUUGCCUUGAGCCUCAGAGAAGACUUUCAACUUGAACUUUGACCAAUCUCGGAACUGUUGAGAGACUAUGGGGCCGUUUCAGAAUGGGCUGAAUGUCUUUUGCAUUGUCAAAUGGGUGUGAGCUUUGGGGGGCCAAAGUCAGAAUGUUAUGGCCUUGAUGUCAUGUGUGAGAUAAUGCAAGAAGAUUUGGAGGAACAAUUGGGAUGUAAAAGCCUUAACCUAAUCAGCGAAUCAGUCACCUGAUUGGAUUAAUUGAGUGGUAACUGAAGGCGAGUGGGGUGUGGCUGGAGGAGGUGGGGUACUGGGAGCGUGGCUUUGGGGUAUAUAUUUUGUAUCUGGCAGGUGGUAAUCUCUCUCUUUGCUUCCUGAUCGUCAGUGAGCCACUUCCCUCUGCCAUACUCAUCUGCCAUGAAGUUCAGCCUCACCUUUAGCCCCAAGGAAUGGGACCUGCUGCCUGUGGAUUGAGACCUCUGAAACCGUGAGCCCCUAAAUAAGCUCUUCCUCCUUUAAAUUUGUUCUGGUCAGAUCCUUUAAUCAAAGCAGAAAAAAGCUGACUAAAACAACAUUGUGCUUCCUGGUUGACCAGAAG
rnacentral:lncRNA from 1 species